rnacentral:rRNA from 1 species
GAUGAACGCUGGCGGCGUGCCUAAUACAUGCAAGUCGAGCGAACAGACGAGGAGCUUGCUCCUCUGACGUUAGCGGCGGACGGGUGAGUAACACGUGGAUAACCUACCUAUAAGACUGGGAUAACUUCGGGAAACCGGAGCUAAUACCGGAUAAUAUAUUGAACCGCAUGGUUCAAUAGUGAAAGACGGUUUUGCUGUCACUUAUAGAUGGAUCCGCGCCGCAUUAGCUAGUUGGUAAGGUAACGGCUUACCAAGGCGACGAUGCGUAGCCGACCUGAGAGGGUGAUCGGCCACCCUGGAACUGAGACACGGUCCAGACUCCUACGGGAGGCAGCAGUAGGGAAUUUUCCGCAAUGGGCGAAAGCCUGACGGAGCAACGCCGCGUGAGUGAUGAAGGUCUUCGGAUCGUAAAACUCUGUUAUUAGGGAAGAACAAAUGUGUAAGUAACUAUGCACGUCUUGACGGUACCUAAUCAGAAAGCCCCGGCUAACUACGUG